CCAAAGUGCACAACAGUCGUCAUCACAUACCGUGUAUAUGAGACCCCAGGGAAGCAGUAGUAAUAUCUGCUAUAGGAACUACACUGAGGUAUUUGCACCAAUCCCUCUCAGUGAUGACAGCAGUGUUGAAGACACAGAAGAAACUGUGAUAGGUGAUAGAGCUCAAGAAAGCCAUAUUACAAUAAGUAACAUCAUAGAAGAUUUAUUUCUUCAAGUCAAUAAUGCAGCCUGCAGUCGCUUUAUAAUUAAUAGAGCUGAUGUCUGGGAUGGAGCAAUGUUUUCGUAGAAGUAACUAUGAACCCCAGAAUUCCAUUAUGGUGAAAUUUACGGAUGACAUUGGAGUCACUGAAGAAGGAAUUGAUACAGGAGGACCAAAACGGGAGUUCCUUGGUCUUCUA